rnacentral:lncRNA from 13 species
GGGUGCUCCUUAUCAGCACUGGGAGCUCCUUAUCACCAGUCAGUGUUUCCCACCCCCAGUGGGUGCCCCUCAUCACUCAUGGGUGCUCCUUAUCAGCACUGGGAGCUCCUUAUCACCAGUGAGUCUUUCCCACCCACAGUGGGUGCCCCUCAUCACUCAUGGGUGCCCCCAAUCACCAGUGGGAGCUCCUUAUCACCAGCGGGAGCUCCUUAUCACCAGUGGUUGCUCCUCAUCUCUUGGGGGUGCUCCUUAUCAGCACUGGGAGCUCCUUAUCACCAGUGAGUCUUUCCCACCCACAGUGGGUGCCCCUCAUCACUCAUGGGUGCUCCUUAUCACCAGUGGGAGCUCCUUAUCAGCAGUGGCUGCUCCUUAUCAGCACUGGGAGCUCCUUAUCACCAGUGAGUGUUUCCCACCCCCAGUGGGUGCCCCUCAUCAUUCAUGGGUGCUCCUUAUCAGCACUGGGAACUCCUUAUCUCUCCUGGGUCGUUCCCACCCCUUUUGGGGUGCUCCUUGUCCCCAGUGGUUGCUCCCAGUCACCCGUGGCUUGUCCUUAUCACCGGUGCCCCUUCCUUAUCACCAGCGUCUGCUUCCCACCAGUUGUGGCCGCUCCCCGUUCCCAGUGGCCGCUCUCUGUCCCCCGUGGCCACUCCCUGCCUCCCCCCCCGCGCCAGGGGACACGGGCAGGGGUCUCACCCAGCAGAUCAUCCGCCUUGAACUUGUCGUUGUCCCACACCUGGAGGAUGAGCUUGGGCGGCACCUUCAGCAGCGUCUCAUCCGAGCUCCACACGUGCUCCUGGGGAGGCCGACGGAGGGGCCGCGCUGUCCCCGCGCUGUCCCCGCGCUGUCCCCGCCCCGUCCCCGCCCCGGGGUGUCCCCUGACCUUGUGGCGGAUGGCGCAGAGCUUCUCGGCCGCCAGGAACUCGAAGGGGAACACGAAGCGCCAGUUGAAGGCCCCGCGCCCGUCCCGGGAGCGAUAGUGGAUGUCGGUCUGCUGCCGCUGCUCGGGCAGCCCGUCCAGCCACCUGCGGGGACACCGCUGUCACUCUGUGCCACCCCAACCACCUGUGGGGACACUGCUGUCACUCUGUGCCACCCCAGCCACCUGCGGGGACACUCCUGUCACUCUGUGCCACCUGCGGGGACACCGCUGUCACUCUGUGCCACCCCAACCACCUGUGGGGACACUGCUGUCACUCUGUGCCAUCUGCGGGGACACUG